rnacentral:lncRNA from 1 species
UCUAAUUCCUGACAUACUGAAACGUUACAGGCUCUGAGCUUCUUUCUCGGGUGCUGUGAUUUGGUACUUGUCAACGAAGCUUGUUCUGGUUUUUCGAUCCUGAUAGCUCUGAGGACGAGCUGGGAUCUUUUGCAGUUUACAGCGUGUGAGCUCUUUACAGUUCAGGCAGGACAAGCAUACCACUAAAAUGUACGUCCUCCGAGAAAGUCCAAUUUGUUAUGUCAGGACAGCAGAGUAGAGAAGUUCAGAAGCGCAUUUAGAUGCCGAAAUCGAUCUCAAAGCCAUAGAUGCAGGUGUUUCAAAUCCGUCAUGAAGUAAAAGAGCUUCAAGCUCUGAAGCCGCAGUGAGGCGACGCUUCGCUGUGUAUGAGGGUUCCGAACGUAGAGCACCUGAGAAAGUGACGAAAUUGACAACGCUGCUGCAGAUUUUAGGGUUGGUCUAGGGAGACUUCGGAAAAUUGCACACGAAUUGAUUUAUUCACCAUUUUGCCCCAUUAUUCCUGUUACCAAACAUCUCUCAGUGCUGCAUUAUUUGCAUUGAGGACCUGGCACUGGAGACGACCAUUAUGUGAGCUCACUGUCGCUGGCAUGGUGGAACUUUACGCUCACUUACAAGCUCACUCAUUUAUUU